rnacentral:rRNA from 1 species
CGCGCAGGCGGUCGAUCAAGUCGAGUGUGAAAGCCCCCGGCUCAACUGGGGAGGGUCAUUCGAUACUGAUCGACUCGAAGGCAGGAGAGGGUAGUGGAAUUCCCGGUGUAGUGGUGAAAUGCGUAGAUAUCGGGAGGAACACCAGUGGCGAAGGCGACUACCUGGCCUGUUCUUGACGCUGAGGCGACGAAAGCUAGGGAAGGCAAAACG